rnacentral:rRNA from 1 species
AGAAGCAAAGACCGCGAGGUAGAGCAAAUCUCAAAAAAACAAUCUCAGUUCAGACUGCAGGCUGCAACUCGCCUGCACGAAGUCGGAAUUGCUAGUAAUCGUAGGUCAGCAUACUACGGUGAAUACGUUCCCGGGCCUUGUACACACCGCCCGUCAAACCAUGAGAGUUGGCAACACCCGAAGUCGGUAGUCUAACCGCAAGGAGGACGCCGCCGAAGGUGGGGUUGAUGAUUAGGGUUAAGUCGUAACAAGGUAGC